UACGGUGGGGGCAAGCGUUGUUCGGAAUUACUGGGCGUAAAGGGCGCGUAGGCGGCCUGCUAAGUCGAACGUGAAAUCCCCGGGCUCAACCCGGGAACUGCGUCCGAUACUGGCAGGCUUGAAUUCGGGAGAGGGAUGCGGAAUUCCAGGUGUAGCGGUGAAGUGCGUAGAUAUCUGGAGGAACACCGGUGGCGAAGGCGGCAUCCUGGACCGAAAUUGACGCUGAGGCGCGAAAGCCAGGGGAGCAAACGGG
rnacentral:rRNA from 1 species